AGGCCUGCUCGCAAAUUACUAUAAUGAAGCACCACCAACCCACUCCCCCUCUUUAAUCAAAUAAAAAAAAUGUUCCAUUCAGUUAGUGUAGUUUUCCUUACCUGAGUGCCGACAGUGCACUCCCCGAGCUGUUGCAUAUAUAUUUCACCUGAACCAUGUUUUUCCAUGUCUACAUAGAAGCCGCAAGUUUUGCACUGCCACAACAUGAUGAUAUCUGUGAAAGAAAAAAUUAAAAACUUAAUGAUUGCCCCGCCUCUUGGUGGUGCGCAAGGUGGGAAAACUGAUACAACAUUCAGGUAAACACACUCUCUCUCUCAUUCAACACCGUUCAAUUUUGGAAUGUUACCUCUAGAACACAACAUGUCUGAUACAUAUUUGAUUAUAAGGUCCAGUGUCUUACUUCCAUUUCAGUUUCUUUAGCUCCAAGUAUGUGAGAGUAAAAGUCUAUUUGCUUUUUUUUAAGAAUACAUAUAUUUAAGUUUGUAGAUUGUUUCAUACUACUGAAAUGGUUAUCUCAGUUCAUCGAGUUGUGUGAGUUCUUGGGGAUGAAAGGACCGGUUGUUGUAUUUUGGUGUACCACCUUGGUAUAUUUUUAAUAAAUUACUUAACAUAUAACAAAAACUGAAAUGGUCGUUUCUAUUUUGAGUGCAAUUCAUUACUGAUCAAAUAUAAUAUCAUGUCAGCAUUCAAUUCAAGGACAAAACAGUGGUUGAAAACUGCAAAAAAACAAACAUGAACUACAAAACAAUAUAUAUUUGUUCAACUUCAAGUACUUUCGUCAUGAGAAGUUCAACUAAGCAAAACUACGUGGAGUGCAAUACUAAAAUAAUUGUUCUGAUUCAUCAGAAAACAAGCUAGCACGAUGAUAACAAAUUGCAAUAUAUGAAAUCAUCUUUUGCCUGCCUUGUGCUUGAAGCAAUGAAUUGAUUCCCUAAAUGUGCGCAUCAAUUCACACUGUCCUUUUUUGCGCUUUUCACUUUUAAAACCACUGCUAAAUUGUCUAUUCGAACAUUAUCAAUAGUAUAUUUAUCCUCACAAAAGCGAGCUUAGAAAAUGUACUCCGAAUAUAGUAAUCAAAAUGGCGAUUCCGAUUCAUCGAAAACUGCUCACGCAUCCUCCCUUUCAAUGGAAAACACUAUUGUGCAAAAUUGCAGAAAUUGCUAAAUUCAUACAUAUUUCCGUUCGAGUAAAAAAUGAAAAGAAGCUCAAUAUUGAAGAUCAAUUUAUCAUCUCAAAAUAUGAAUUCAAAAAUUUUGAAUUAUAUGUAUGGGAAAAUUUCACAUAAGAACAAGUGGACUCCCUACUUUUCAAUUUUAUAGUCUAUAUUCCAAUUUACAACCAGCUAGCCCAAAAAUAAUAGGCUAAGAUUCAACAUCCAACUCCAAUAGGUUCUCAAAAUUACUAUUUAAUUUUAAAAAAAGAUUGCUCAAGCUUUGAAGUUAAUUUUUGAAUCAGUAACUGUGACUCAAAUAUUAGUUGAACCAACCAAAUCCAUUUGGGUGGUGAAAAUUAGAUUUUUAACAAGCUUAAAUAUGUGGGUUUAAAUUUUGAAUUUGAUUUUGUGACAAAUUUGGCGUGGGUGUUAUUUAGACUUGUUAGAAAUAGUAUAAGAAGGUUGUAUAUAAAUUUGAAGUCAUUUAAUGGAGAUUUGGAAUGGUUUUGAACAAGAAUUGCAACUGAAAAUCGUGAAAAAAGUUCGUCUACAGACUCUUGUAUAAAGGUGUAUAAUAGUGUAUAAGAUGUGUUUAUACACUCAUAUAAACUAUUAUACAAGAUUAUGCAUAAUUAUAUAAAAAAACUGACUUCGUCUUCUUCCUUGCGUCUUUUCUGAAAUUGAACUCAAAUCUUGCUCAAAUCUACUCCAAAUCAUUUCAAAUUUAAAUUUUGAUAUCCUUUUGAUAUUUUCAAUCAAUUGAAAUAACACACAAUCCAAACAUCUAACAAACUCAAAAAAAUCUAUUUUCGAAAGCUUUGAAUGGCCUUCAAUGGUGGACUUCUACUCUUUAAUUUUUUUAUAUUGUAACCAGGUGACAUAGGGGAGAAGCAGUAAUGGCGAACGUGCCCUAGCAUAUGUAAAAGAUAUGAGAAGAAGAGAGAGUGAAAGCAAUAGUGGUGAAAACACAAAUUUAACUUCAUAGCUUUUAGAAGUAAUGGUUGUAAGAACACAGAUUAUGAAUUUGCAAGAGCUAGUAUUUUCAAAAUAUGUACAAUAUGGGCUAGGUUAGGUAAAGCAAAAAAUAUGGGCCAUUUUUUGUUAUGGUGUAAAGUCAUGUGUAUUUUCUUGUAAUUCUUUCUAUAUGUAUUGAUGUUUUAAACGUCAAUACCACACAAAAGGGGAGGGGGUGAUUUGUGUGGUACCCAAUUUCGCUUAAAUGAACUAUAGAAGGACUUGGUUCUUCUAUGUGUUCCAACUACUACUGUUUG
rnacentral:lncRNA from 1 species